GUUUUUGUAGUUGAAUACAACGAUGGUUUUUCAUAUCAUAGGUCUUGGUUAAAGUCCAGGCAAGAAUU
rnacentral:tRNA from 1 species